rfam:Triticum aestivum genome assembly, contig: Triticum_aestivum_CS42_TGACv1_scaffold_577121_7BL
GAAGUACUCCCUCCGUUCGGAAUUACUCGUCCGAGAAAUGAAUGUAUCUAGAUGUAUUUUAGUUAUAGAUACAACCAUUUUUAUCUAUUUUUGUGACAAGUAAUUGCGAACGGAGGGAGUAUAUC